rnacentral:snoRNA from 1 species
UUACAAAAAAUAAUAAUUAAGGUACCCUUUGGAUGAGUUUCUGAUUAUGCUACUUUGUACUAGUUGAAGAAACUCUUGGCUGUCUGAGCUUCCAA